rnacentral:rRNA from 1 species
CACCGCGGUUAUACGAGAGGCCCAAGUUGACAAAAACCGGCGUAAAGAGUGGUUAAUAGUGAUCAAACUAAAGCCGAACACCUUCAAAGCCGUCAUACGCACCCGAAGGCAGGAAGACCCCCAACGAAAGUGGCUUUAACCAAGUAUGAACCCACGAAAGCUAGGGUA